AUGGACUUACUUCAGUCACUUGUCUUGCUUCUGUCCCUCCCUUGCUGGGUUCUUUCUCAGGUCACCCUGAAAGAGUCUGGUCCUGGGCUGUUGAAACCUAAUGAGGUUCUAUCACUGACCUGUACUGUCUCUGGAUUCUCACUGAGCACUUGUAGUAUUGGUGUUGCCUGGCUCCGUCAGCUCCAAGGAAAGGCACCUGAGUGGCUCUCCGAUAUAUGGUGGGAUGAUAACAAGUAUUAUGCACCAUCUCUGAAGAGCUGGCUCACAAUUUCCAGAGACACCUCCAAGAGCAAAGUGUUCUUAACCAUGACCAACAUGAGCCCCACAGACACAGCCAUGUAUUAUUGUGCACGACAAACACAGAGACACAGCCUAGGGGAAUGUCUGUUCAAAAAUGCAGGCAGAUUCUCAGAUGUGUCACCAUUUCUACAGAGGAGAGGACUGUGGUGA